rnacentral:rRNA from 1 species
GACGAACGCUGGCGGCGUGCUUAACACAUGCAAGUCGAACGGAAAGGCCCUGCUUUUGUGGGGUGCUCGAGUGGCGAACGGGUGAGUAACACGUGAGUAACCUGCCCUUGACUUUGGGAUAACUUCAGGAAACUGGGGCUAAUACCGGAUAGGAGCUCCUGCUGCAUGGUGGGGGUUGGAAAGUUUCGGCGGUUGGGGAUGGACUCGCGGCUUAUCAGCUUGUUGGUGGGGUAGUGGCUUACCAAGGCUUUGACGGGUAGCCGGCCUGAGAGGGUGACCGGCCACAUUGGGACUGAGAUACGGCCCAGACUCCUACGGGAGGCAGCAGUGGGGAAUAUUACACAAUGGGCGGAAGCCUGAUGCAACAACGCCGCGUGCGGGAUGACGGCCUUCGGGUUGUAAACCGCUUUCGCCUGUGACGAAGCGUGAGUGACGGUAAUGGAUAAAGAAGCACCGGCUAACUACGUG